AGAGUUUGAUCCUGGCUCUAGGAUGAACGCUGGCGGCGUGCUUAACACAUGCAAGUCGAACGAAGCACUCUAUUUGAUUUCCUUCGGGAUUGAUUAUUUUGUGACUGAGUGGCGGACGGGUGAGUAACGCGUGGGUAACCUGCCUUGUACAGGGGGAUAACAGUUGGAAACGGCUGCUAAUACCGCAUAAGCGCACAGUACCGCAUGGUAUAGUGUGAAAAACUCCGGUGGUAUAAGAUGGACCCGCGUUUGAUUAGCUGGUUGGUGGGGUAACGGCCUACCAAGGCGACGAUCAAUAGCCGACCUGAGAGGGUGACCGGCCACAGUGGGACUGAGACACGGCCCAAACUCCUACGGGAGGCAGCAGUGGGGAAUAUUGCACAAUGGGCGAAAGCCUGAUGCAGCGACGCCGCGUGAGCGAAGAAGUAUUUCGGUAUGUAAAGCUCUAUCAGCAGGGAAGAUAAUGACGGUACCUGACUAAGAAGCACCGGCUAAAUACGUGCCAGCAGCCGCGGUAAUACGUAUGGUGCAAGCGUUAUCCGGAUUUACUGGGUGUAAAGGGAGCGCAGGCGGUGCGGCAAGUCUGAUGUGAAAGCCCGGGGCUCAACCCCGGUACUGCAUGGGAAACUGUCGUACUAGAGUGUCGGAGGGUAAGCCGCAAUUCCUACUGUACCGGUGAAAUGCGUACAUAUUAGGAGGAACACCAGUGGCGAAGGCGGCUUACUGGACGAUAACUGACGCUGAGGCUCGAGAGCGUGGGGAGCAGACAGGAUUAGAUACCCCGGUAGUCCACGCCGUAAACGAUGAAUACUAGGUGUCGGGAGGCAUUGCCUUUCGGUGCCGUCGCAAACGCAGUAAGUAUUCCACCUGGGGAGUACGUUCGCAAGAAUGAAACUCAAAGGAAUUGACGGGGACCCGCACAAGCGGUGGAGCAUGUGGUUUAAUUCGAAGCAACGCGAAGAACCUUACCAAGUCUUGACAUCCUUCUGACCGGUACUUAAUCGUACCUUCUCUUCGGAGCAGGAGUGACAGGUGGUGCAUGGUUGUCGUCAGCUCGUGUCGUGAGAUGUUGGGUUAAGUCCCGCAACGAGCGCAACCCUUAUCUUUAGUAGCCAGCGGUUCGGCCGGGCACUCUGGAGAGACUGCCAGGGAUAACCUGGAGGAAGGCGGGGAUGACGUCAAAUCAUCAUGCCCCUUAUGACUUGGGCUACACACGUGCUACAAUGGCGUAAACAAAGGGAAGCAAAGCUGUGAGGCCGAGCAAAUCUCAAACAUAACGUCUCAGUUCGGACUGUAGUCUGCAACCCGACUACGCGAAGCUGGAAUCGCUAGUAAUCGCAGAUCAGAAUGCUGCGGUGAAUACGUUCCCGGGGUCUUGUACACACCGCCCGUCAAGGGCAAAUUCGCG
rnacentral:rRNA from 1 species